CCGACCGGCCUCUGCGCCGCGCCUUCCCUGACCUCCGUCCCGAGCCGACGCGGUCGCUCCCGACCUCCGUCGCGACCACGCCGCGACCGUCGCCCGCCCAGGCCUUCGCUCCUCCUGGCGCACCUCUGGUCCCCUUCCCCGACUGCCGCCGGCUUCCUUCCCCAACCUCCGUCCCAACGCGGCCUCUCCCAACCUCCGUCCGGAUCGCGCCGCCCGACCGCGACCAUCCACCCGCCCAGGCCUCUGCGCCACCCCGCCGGAGGUGCCUCGAGUCCGGCGCGCCGCCUCCCCAUCGCCCGGCGCACCGCCGGCCCCUUCCCCUCCCUAGGUUCCUCACGCUCGUGAUUUAUCUUUUGCUUCAGUGGUGCCUGAGGACGUUGCCCACCCAAUGUUCGAUGAAAUGUCUCCUCUAGAUGUAGUCUGGGAUGAGGAAGUGCAGUAUGGAUUCGAUUCACAUGGCUUGUUGCAGCAGUUAGCUCAGUGGACUGGCGAGCAGAUGCAGUGCAAGCAGGUCUCGUUGAUGGCGUCAGUCAUGUUCGAGGAAAUGCAUCAAGGUGGAGAGGACUUGAUUGGCAAGGAAAAGGAGGCAACUGCAGAGUUCAGUCGUAUCAGUAGUGCUCCCCUUCCCGUGGAGCUAUACGUUGAUUCUGGGGUGCUUGAGGAAACGUAUCACAAUGACGUCGUACGGUAUGAUGAUUUGUCUUCCCACGACACACACCAUAGCCAACAAUCAGCUUACUUGGUUGAUGAGGAUAGCAAGUCAUGGGUGCGAAGGACCUGAAGGAUGAGAAGAUAAAGCCGUGUGUUCAGCUUAUUGAUGAUGAGAUAGAGCCCAUCGUUAGCGGAAACCUUCCUCCUAGGUUUGAUUCAAAUACAGGCCGCAGCGUGUAAGUGUUGGGAAGGUCUCUUUGCCUUAGGACUGUUGUACUGCUAAAAGCUGAUUUAUGGGCCAUUGCUACAACACAAUAUGUACUCUUACCUGAAAGAUAGAAAUGCACAGGGCUGUUUAGAACCAUUACUGUUUUUUGUUGAAUUAUACUUUGGGAAAAUUUUCUGGUUUCCAGCUGGUUAUAUCGCUUCUGUCAUCAUAUCUGCAAUGCACCACUUGUAAUGCUUGAUGCGAA